GCUUCUCCCAUUUUCUUCUUCUUCCUCCCGACGCCUUCUCCCUGCUGCUCCCUCCUCCCUUGAGCUCCCUAGGCGCCUCCCUCCUCCUAGUGCCCUCCCUCACGAGCUCCUCUCCUGGCGCCCUCCUCUCCUCCCCUGCUGCUCCACCUCGACAGCGUCGCCCCCUCGCCUGCUGUGGCCUCACGCUCGGUGCCGCCCGUCACCACGCCGCUCUUCCUCUCUCCCGAGCUCCCUCGCGCUCGCGCCUCCCCUUCCCCGUGCCGCCCGACGCCACCACGCCGCCGAGCUCCCUCGCGCGCCUCCCUCUCUCCCGUGCUGUCUCCCCGCAACCACCGCGCCUCCUCCUGCCGAGCGCGCCAAGCCGCCUCCCCGUCGCCCGCGUCCGCCCCGCCGGCGACCGCCUCCACGCACACCAGCCUCCUCUGCCUCCAGCCCGCAGGCCCAGCCGAGCCUUCUCCUUGGCCCAUCUCCAAGCCCAGCAAGACAAGCAGGCUCGUGCCCUCUGUCCCCUGUUGUCUUAUCUUUCUUUUUCCUGAAAUCGCUGCCUGACGUGUGGGCCCUGCUGGUCAGCGCCUUCGUGUGCUUGCUGCUGUGCUACUGCUGCCGCUGCUCGCUGUCGUGUUAUCGCUGCUCCGCGAGUGCUUCGCCGUGUCGCUGCCCAAUUCUUCUUGUGUGCCGUGAAGACCAAAGAAUCUUCGAGCCGAUGCCGUGAACCACUACUUGGACUACGGGGUCUACAACGCCUACGUGUACAACUACUUCCUCUACGACGACUACUUCGUCUACAUCACGACGCCGCAACGAGUCCAAGGAUUCUUGCUCAAUUUCGGGCAAUUGAGUACUCCAGACAAGCAGCCCUUCCUUGAUCAUGUUGAUUACACCUAUUGCCUCUCCCUUAAUCUUGCAUUAAGAUAUGAUCUCAGUCUUGUCACGAUGCCAUUAGGAUUGCAUAGCUUAUUAGCCAGCUCCACUUAUUGCCUUAUGUCUUGUUACUUGUCCUAUUACCAUGUCACAUGUUUGCUUGUUGCCCUAGUUCUUGGUCAUUAGAUGUCAUGCUUAGUUGCAAGUCUAGUGUCCUUA